rnacentral:rRNA from 1 species
CACCGGCGGCUCGAGUGGUGGCCACUUUUAUUGGGACUAAAACGUCCGUAGCCGGCUUGGCAAGUCCCCUGGGAAAUCUGGCGGCUUAACCGUCAGGCGUCCAGAGGAUACUGCCAGGCUUGGGACCGGGAGAGGUGAGAGGUACCUCAGGGGUAGGGGUGAAAUCUUGUGAUCCCUGAGGGACCACCAGUGGCGAAGGCGUCUCACUAGAACGGGUCCGACGGUCAGGGACGAAAGCUGGGGGCACGAACCGG